CAAGUUACUAGCAAUGGCCUACGAUAGAGCACUUAGCGUUUUGUUGCUCUGAACAUCAUUCUUCGCAGAUGAAGUUCUCGGUAGUUGAAUUCAAAGAUGACAAAUCGAUCGCUGUCGUUCCCUCGUCGUGGGUUCGCGGGCGGAAGUCCUAUUGGCGCCCUGGCCCUGGCAGCAAAACGACAUUAGUCCAGAGAGGUGUGGAGCCCUCACCCGGUUGGAAAGCGUACACCAUGGUCACAAAAGCAACAUUCAGCAAGUAUCGAGAGGCUCGUCUGGCAUUGCCGCUCCUGCAGUGCACAUCAGAUGUGGAACGCAAUGACGGAGGAAAGGGAAAGGUGACAAAGCCCACAAGAUACGAACCUGAAUGCAACAGACAGCCACCCUGCCCACCAAGCACGUUUCCUGGGCCGUCUAUGGCUAG